AGGACGAACGCUGGCGGCGUGCUUAACACAUGCAAGUCGAGCGGUAAGGCCUUUCGGGGUACACGAGCGGCGAACGGGUGAGUAACACGUGGGUGAUCUGCCCUGCACUUCGGGAUAAGCCUGGGAAACUGGGUCUAAUACCGGAUAUGACCUCAGGUUGCAUGACGUUGGGGUGGAAAG
rnacentral:rRNA from 1 species